rnacentral:rRNA from 1 species
AUUGCCCCAGUAACGGCGAGUGAAGCGGCAACAGCUCAAAUUUGAAAUCUGGCCCCAGGCCCGAGUUGUAAUUUGCAGAGGAUGCUUUGGGCGCGGUGCCUUCCGGGUUCCCUGGAACGGGACGCCACAGAGGGUGAGAGCCCCGUCUGGUCGGACACCAAGCCUAUGUAAAGCUCCUUCGACGAGUCGAGUAGUUUGGGAAUGCUGCUCAAAAUGGGAGGUAUAUGUCUUCUAAAGCUAAAUACCGGCCAGAGACCGAUAGCGCACAAGUAGAGUGAUCGAAAGAUGAAAAGCACUUUGAAAAGAGAGUUAAACAGCACGUGAAAUUGUUGAAAGGGAAGCGUUCAUGACCAGACUUGGCCCGGUUGAUCAUCCAGCGUUCUCGCUGGUGCACUCUGCCGGUCCAGGCCAGCAUCAGUUCGCCGCGGGGGAUAAAGGUUUCGGGAAUGUGGCUCCUCGGAGUGUUAUAGCCCGUUGCGCAAUACCCUGUGGUGGACUGAGGUCCGCGCUUCUGCAAGGAUGCUGGCGUAAUGGUCAUCAACGACCCGUCUUGAAACACGGACCAAGGAGUCGUCUUCGUAUGCGAGUGUUCGGGUGUAAAACCCCUACGCGUAAUGAAAGUGAACGGAGGUGGGAGCUUCGGCGCACCAUCGACCGAUCCUGAUGUUCUCGGAUGGAUUUGAGUAAGAGCAUACGGGGCCGGACCCGAAAGAAGGUGAACUAUGCCUGUAUAGGGUGAAGCCAGAGGAAACUCUGGUGGAGGCUCGCAGCGGUUCUGACGUGCAAAUCGAUCGUCAAAUAUGGGCAUGGGGGCGAAAGACUAAU